rnacentral:rRNA from 1 species
GACGAACCGUGCGAACGUUGUUCGGAAUCACUGGGCUUAAAGGGCGCGUAGGCGGUCAAUAAAGUCCGGGGUGAAAUCUUUCGGCUUAACCGGAAAAGUGCCUCGGAUACUGAUUGGCUGGAGGGAGAUAGGGGCAGCUGGAACUUCCAGUGGAGCGGUGAAAUGCGUUGAUAUUGGAAGGAACGCCGGUGGCGAAAGCGAGCUGCUGGAUCUCUUCUGACGCUGAUGCGCGAAAGCUAGGGGAGCAAACGG